rnacentral:lncRNA from 1 species
UCUUACAAAAUAAAAAAUCUAUACCCAUAUCCAAGCAACUAAUUAAUCUAAUGAAUCUUAUAAAAAAAUAAGCCAAACAUGUUACUUAUCUACUUUGUGAAUAACAUUGCUAUAGUGUCUAAUAUUACUGAAGUUAUUUCCUCAUUUGUCAUGCAACUUCCGUCAACGUUUACACUACCCAAUACCCAUCUAGUGGCUCUUACAAUGUCAUCACCUAUUUGAGCUAAUUAAUCUCUUUGUGUUCCAAAUAUGGUAGUUUCAAUGACAUUGUUCUUUGUGCUGUGGUGAGGACUUCAAUCACAUAAGUAGCUACAUCUCUUGAUUCCAACUUUUGAUAUCAAGGAUCUUGCAUAGAAUCACCUUCGCUUCAAGUAUAGGAAUAAAACGAGGUCUUUGAGGGGCCACAACCUAGAUCCAAUUCUAAAAAUUAAAAAAAAUAAAAAUAAAAAAAAUCACAUUUUUGUUGGUCAUCCUCGACCAAUAUUCUUUGACAUGUCUUCACCUUUUACAUAUCCUUCGUAGUCACGAUUCAUAAACCAACAUUCUUGAAAUCACAACAUUGAACAUGUGGUAUGUUAACUCAAGCAUACUAUCAAUAAUGGUUUGUUCCUCGAGGACAUUUACAUGCCUUCUCAUACAUCAAUUGGACUCAUAAUCUAGAUAAUCGAAUUUCAACCAAUAGAUUUUCUCAUGUGAAGCUCAUGACUUUUUUAAGCUUCUAGAUGAGCAUUAUGAAUUUUUAUCAGCUAUAACAAUACCGACCCCAAAACAUACAUUUGCUGAUCCAAACCCAGUGUUAUACUCUCCAAAGCAACAACUUGCAAUUGAUUUUCAUUUCAUUCAUCACGGAGUAGUAGCUUGACAACUUUAUUUUUCUCACAUAUCUAACAAAAAACCAAAUUGUUGAUUUCCUUAGGACCAUUCUACACGUACAGGAAAAAUGUAUACCGAUAUUUUACAGAAUACACACAACAGCGGGGUCCACCAAAAUAAAAUAUUCACAUGGGGCACCCCAUGUGAGGGCCAUGUGGAAUUUCUGUGAGAUUAUUCCCCAUACAUAGGGAAUAAUUCAUUUCCUUAUGAACUUUGCUUGGUCUUAAAAUAUUGCUACCAAUGGAAACACUGUGUUGCAAUGCAGGUAAGAAAACAAUCCUCACAAUCUCAAAAUAUCUAGUCAACCAAAUCAAACUCCUUGAUUCAAGCUUCUUCAAAUAUACCUCAACAACAAAUUAUGAUUGUAAUACUAUCUUAAUUAAAAUUACGAUUGUUCUAUCUUAAUUCCCUUUAUCUUCUCCUAUAGUUUAGGUAACUUUGGUGCAAAAUCACUUUACCUUCUGUUAUAGUUUAGGAUAAGUUAAUUAAGAAUACAUAAUUUUCUUUGAAUCUCUAAAUGCAUAAUGUGAUCCAUUAUUCUACAAUUCUCAUUUUGUCUCAAUAUAAUGGCAAGGAAACAUGAGUAGAUAUGUGGGCCUAAGCCAGUUGACAUGAAACGGAUGUUUCCUUUAACUUGAGAUGAUGGAUGGAUUCAAAUAAAAAAUGUAGUCUUGCAAUUGUUUUCUGACCAACUAAGUUAAUGGAUGAAUAGAAAAAUGAGUUGAAGAGUUGGAUUACUAGCAUAUCCUGUCUUUUGGUUCCUUAAGAAUGCCAAAAGCUAGAAGAUUCAUAGCCUAUUAUAUUGUUUAGCUUAACUGGAUUUGAGUGCUACAGCUUGAUAAAAGGACAACUACACCUGUAUACAAAACCAUGGAAAGUAUUACAGAUUUGUGAAUAUAUUGGGUUUGGCUACUUUACCCAAAGGGUCUAAAUUUCUUUAUGAGAAAAAUGCGUACACAGAUAGGCACAAUCAAUACAUAUACUGAUCCGAUAGAAAGAGAGGAAUAAGAACUGUGGAAGAUGAGAAUUCUUGCUAUAACUUACAUGUGCAUAUUUUGCAAUCUGAUACGUUUCCUUUGAAGAAU